UUAAUGUGUUGGGUUUUGUUUGACCCAGUUGGGUUUUUAGAGGAACUGUAGUGAAAAAAAAAAAACACUGACACUUUCUCUGAACAAAAGUUGAUUGAAUGUUGUUGUCAAUUAAAACAAACAUUUUAAUUUCCAAUUUAUUAAUUGGGUGACUCUAUUUUGUGGAUGAUUUUAAUUUAUUUACUAUUUUAUUUGUUUUUGUUUUUGUUUUUGGUUGGAUGUGAGAAAGAUUUUUAUUAGAGAAAGAAAAAAGAUAUGUCCUUUGCUCAGAUUUCUUUAUUAUACACUCUUACUCCUAUUUAGGGUUUCGUUUAACUUUACCCUCUCAUUAUUAUUCUCUUUCUAUACACAAAUUUCUUUGAUUUUGCUCAGAUUUCUUGGUUUCUCCAUCUGAUUCUUCAAUUUCGGACUGUUUUCGAGAUGAGGAAAUUCGUUCUACUAUCUUUGGAAUGGAUUCUUCUAGUGCGCCAGGCCCUAAUGGUUCACUGGUGUCUUCUUCAAAGAGUGUUGGGAUAUCAUUAAACCUGAUCUUAUCAAGGCUAUCCGCCAUUAUUUUUUUAUCGCGGGUGAGAUUGUUCCUGGCAUUAAUUCUAAUUUAAUGAUUCUCAUUCCUAAAAUUGAGCAUGCUAUUACUAUUGAUAAAUUUCGUCCAAUUGUUCUGUCUAACUUUAUUUAAUGAGUUUUUCAUUUGUCGAGUUGCUUAGGGGGUGCCAGCCUAGCUUAGCUGAUAUUUCUAGAUGCAUCUCCGACGAUUAACUUGCUCGAAUCUUAAAGAAAGAAAAAAAAAGAGAUUUGUAUCAUUCCAAGAUGAAGCUUCCUUCAUAAGAUUACACUGGGGCUUGGAUUAGAGAAGGAUUUAUAUGAUCCUAAGAAUCAGAAGCGGUCAACAUAAAUAAGACAUUUUUAUUAUAGCAGACAAGAAAUGUAAUUGUAAAAUAAAAAAUACCUUGGCUCAUUGUUUGAAGCAUAGUAAAAUUGAAAUCAAGAUUACAUAAGACUAAA